GAUGAACGCUAGCGGCAGGCCUAAUACAUGCAAGUCGAACGGUAACAUGGUCAGCAAUGACUGAUGACGAGUGGCGCACGGGUGCGUAACGCGUAUGCAAUCUACCUCUUACUGGGGAAUAGCCCGGAGAAAUCCGGAUUAACACCGCAUAAUAUAUUGUUGAGGCAUCUCAGUAAUAUUAAAUAUUUAUAGGUAAGAGAUGAGCUAUGCGUCCAAUUAGUUAGUUGGUGAGGUAACGGCUCACCAAGACGAUGAUUGGGUAGGGGUUCUGAGAGGAAGGUCCCCCACACUGGUACUGAGAUACGGACCAGACUCCUACGGGAGGCAGCAGUAGGGAAUAUUGGGCAAUGGACGAGAGUCU
rnacentral:rRNA from 1 species